rnacentral:rRNA from 1 species
UACGUAGGGGGCAAGCGUUGUCCGGAUUUACUGGGCGUAAAGGGUGUGUAGGCGGUUCUUUUAGUUUGGUGUGAAAUCUCCCGGCUCAACCGGGAGGGUGCGCCGAAUACUGAGGGACUCGAGUGCGGGAGAGGAAAGUGGAAUUCCUGGUGUAGCGGUGAAAUGCGUAGAUAUCAGGAGGAACACCGGUGGUGUAGACGGCUUUCUGGACCGUAACUGACGCUGAGACACGAAAGCGUGGGUAGCAAACAGG